GACGAACGCUGGCGGCGUGCCUAAUACAUGCAAGUAGAACGCUGAAGGAGGAGCUUGCUUCUCUGGAUGAGUUGCGAACGGGUGAGUAACGCGUAGGUAACCUGCCUGGUAGCGGGGGAUAACUAUUGGAAACGAUAGCUAAUACCGCAUAAUAGCAGUUAUUGCAUGAUAACUGUUUAAAAGGUGCAAUUGCACCACUACCAGAUGGACCUGCGUUGUAUUAGCUAGUUGGUGGGGUAACGGCUCACCAAGGCGACGAUACAUAGCCGACCUGAGAGGGUGAUCGGCCACACUGGGACUGAGACACGGCCCAGACUCCUACGGGAGGCAGCAGUAGGGAAUCUUCGGCAAUGGACGAAAGUCUGACCGAGCAACGCCGCGUGAGUGAAGAAGGUUUUCGGAUCGUAAAGCUCUGUUGUAAGAGAAGAACGAGUGUGAGAGUGGAAAGUUCACACU
rnacentral:rRNA from 1 species